rnacentral:rRNA from 1 species
UACGGAGGAUCCGAGCGUUAUCCGGAUUUAUUGGGUUUAAAGGGUGCGCAGGCGGGGGAUUAGGUCGGCGGUGAAAUGUCAGGGCUCAACCUUGAAAGUGCCGUCGAAACCGGUUUUCUUGAGUGCGGAUGAAGUAGGCGGAAUUUGUGGUGUAGCGGUGAAAUGCGUAGAUAUCACAAGGAACACCGAUUGCGGAGGCAGCUUACUAAACCGCAACUGACGCUCAUGCACGAAGGCGUGGGGAUCAAACAGGAUUAGAUACCCUGGUAGUCCACGCAGUAAACGAUGAUUACUGGCUGUUUGCGAUACAAUGUAAGCGGCUGAGCGAAAGCGUUAAGUAAUCCACCUGGGGAGUACGUUCGCAAGAAUGAAACUCAAAGGAAUUGACGGGGGCCCGCACAAGCGGAGGAACAUGUGGUUUAAUUCGAUGAUACGCGAGGAACCUUACCCGGGCUUGAAAUGCAUCUGACCGGGCCGGAAACGGUCUUUCCCAGCGAUGGGCAGAUGUGUAGGUGCUGCAUGGUU